rnacentral:rRNA from 1 species
AUUGAACGCUGGCGGCAGGCCUAACACAUGCAAGUCGAACGAGUGGCGGACGGGUGAGUAAUGUCUGGGAAACUGCCCGAUGGAGGGGGAUAACUACUGGAAACGGUAGCUAAUACCGCAUACCAUCAGAUUUGCCCAGAUGGGAUUAGCUAGUAGGUGGGGUAACGGCUCACCUAGGCGACGAUCCCUAGCUGGUCUGAGAGGAUGACCAGCCACACUGGAACGGAGACAGGGUCAAGACGCGUACGGGAGGCAGCAGUGGGGAGUAUCGCAAAAUGGGGGCAAGCCUGAGGCAGCCAGGCGGCGGGGAUGAAGAAGGCCUUGGGGUGGUAAAGUACUUUCAGCGGGGAGGCGUUACCCGCAGAAGAAGCACCGGCUAACUCCGUGCCAGCAGCCGCGGUAAUAC